rnacentral:rRNA from 1 species
UACGUAGGGGGCAAGCGUUGUCCGGACUUAUUGGGCGUAAAGAGCGUGUAGGCGGCCUUACAGGUCAGCUGUGAAAACUCGAGGCUCAACCUCGAGACGUCGGUUGAAACCGUAUGGCUAGAGUCCGGAAGAGGAGAGUGGAAUUCCCGGUGUAGCGGUGAAAUGCGCAGAUAUCGGGAAGAACACCCGUGGCGAAGGCGGCUCUCUGGGACGGUACUGACGCUGAGACGCGAAAGCGUGGGGAGCAAACAGG